CCUACGGGUGGCAGCAGUGAGGAAUAUUGGUCAAUGGGAGAGAUCCUGAACCAGCCAAGCCGCGUGAGGGAAGACGGCCCUAUGGGUUGUAAACCUCUUUUGUCGGAGAACAAAACCCGGGACGUGUCCCGGACUGCGUGUAUCCGAAGAAAAAGCAUCGGCUAACUCCGUGCCAGCAGCCGCGGUAAUACGGAGGAGGCGAGCGUUAUCCGGAUUUAUUGGGUUUAAAGGGUGGGUAGGCGGUCCGUUAAGUCAGCGGGAAAAUUGCGGGGCUCAACCCCGUCGAGCCGUUGAAACUGGCAGACUUGAGUUGGCGAGAAGUACGCGGAAUGCGCGGUGUAGCGGUGAAAUGCAUAGAUAGCGCGCAGAACUCCGAUUGCGAAGGCAGCGUACCGGCGCCAGACUGACGCUGAGGCACGAAAGCGUGGGGAUCGAACAGGAUUAGAUACCCGUGUAGUC
rnacentral:rRNA from 1 species